rnacentral:rRNA from 1 species
AACGAGACCUUAACCUGCACAAAAGACAGGAUGGCUUAGGCAGUACGCUGGCUUCUUAGAGGGACUAUCGGCUCAAGCCGAUGGAAGUUUGAGGCAAUAACAGGUCUGUGAUGCCCUUAGAUGUUCUGGGCCGCACGCGCGCUACACUGACGGAGCCAGCGAGUACUCCCUUGGCCGAAAGGCCUGGGUAAUCUUGUGAAACUC